UGGCGGCGUGCCUAAUACAUGCAAGUCGAGCGAAUGGAUUAAGAGCUUGGUCUUAUGAAGUUAUCGGCGGACGGGUGAGUAACACGUGAGUAACCUGCCCAUAAGUCUGGGAUAACUCCGGGAAACCGGGGGUAAUGCCGGAUAACAUUUUGAACCGCAUGGUUCGAAAUUGAAAGGCGGCUUCGGCUGUCACUUAUGGAUGGACCCGCGUCGCAUUAGCUAGUUGGUGAGGUAACGGCUCACCAAGGCAACGAUGCGUAACCGACCUGAGAGGGUGAUCGGCCACCCUGGGACUGAGACCCGGCCCAGGCUCCUUCGGGAGGCAGCAGUAGGGAAUCUUCCGCAAUGGGGGAAAGUCUGACGGAGCAACUCCGCGUGAGUGAUGAAGGCCUUCGGGUUGUAAAACUCUGUUGUUAGGGAAGAACAAGUGUUAGUUGAAUAAGUUGGCACCUUGACGGUUCCUAACCAGAAAACCACGGCUAACUUCGUGCCAGCAACCGCGGUAAUACGUAGGUGGCAAGCGUUAUCCGGAAUUAUUGGGCGUAAAGCGCGCGCAGGUGGUUUUUUAAGUUUGAUGUGAAAGCCCCCGGCUCAACCGUGGAGGGUCAUUGGAAACUGGGAGACUUGAGUGCAGAAGAGGAAAGUGGAAUUCCAUGUGUAGCGGUGAAAUGCGUAGAGAUUUGGAGGAACUCCAGUGGCGAAGGCCACUUUUUGGUCUGUAUCUGACCCUGAGGCGCGAAAGCCUGGGGAGCAAACAGGAUUAGAUUCCCUGGUAGUCCCCGCCGUAAACGAUGAGUGCUAAGUGUUAGAGGCUUUCCGCCCUUUAGUGCUGAAGU
rnacentral:rRNA from 1 species